rnacentral:rRNA from 1 species
GACGAACGCUGGUGGCGUGCCUAAUACAUGCAAGUCGAACGGAGCGGCGGACGGGUGAGUAAUGCCUAGGAAUCUGACUGGUAGUGGGGGAUAACGUCCGGAAACGGGCGCUAAUACCGCAUACUAUCAGAUGAGACUAGGUCGGAUUAGCUAGUUGGGGGGGUAAAGGCCUACAAAGGCCACGAUCCGUAACUGGUCUGAGAGGAUGAUCAGUCACACUGGAACUGAGACACGGUCCAGACUCCUACGGGAGGCAGCAGUGGGGAAUAUUGGACAAUGGGCGAAAGCCUGAUCCAGCCAUGCCGCGUGUGUGAAGAAGGUCUUCGGAUUGUAAAGCACUUUAAGUUGGGAGGCGUUACCAACAGAAUAAGCACCGGCUAACUUCGUGCCAGCAGCCGCUGUAAUUC